rnacentral:rRNA from 1 species
UACGUAGGGGGCAAGCGUUGUCCGGAAUCAUUGGGCGUAAAGCGCGUGUAGGCGGCUUGGUAAGUCCGCUCUGAAAGCCCGGGGCUCAACCCCGGGAGGCGGGUGGAUACUGUCAAGCUCGAGUCCGGAAGAGGCGAGUGGAAUUCCUGGUGUAGCGGUGAAAUGCGUAGAGAUCCGGAGGAACACCAGUGGCGAAGGCGACACGCUGGGCCGUACCUCGACACGUGAUACGCGACAGCAUGGGAGCGAACGGGAGUUAGAUGACCCG